rnacentral:rRNA from 1 species
CUUGACAUCCAGAGAAUUUAGCAGAGAUGCUUUAGUGCCUUCGGGAACUCUGAGACAGGUGCUGCAUGGCUGUCGUCAGCUCGUGUUGUGAAAUGUUGGGUUAAGUCCGCAACGAGCGCAACCCUUAUCCUUUGUUGCCAGCACGUAAUGGUGGGAACUCAAAGGAGACUGCCGGUGAUAAACCGGAGGAAGGUGGGGAUGACGUCAAGUCAUCAUGGCCCUUACGAGUAGGGCUACACACGUACUACAAUGGCGCAUACAAAGAGAAGCGACCUCGCGAGAGCAAGCGGACCUCAUAAAGUGCGUCGUAGUCCGGAUUGGAGUCUGCAACUCGACUCCAUGAAGUCGGAAUCGCUAGUAAUCGUAAAUCAGAAUGUUACGGUGAAUACGUUCCCGGGCCUUGUACACACCGCCCGUCACACCAUGGGAGUGGGUUGCAAAAGAAGUAGAUAGCUUAACCUUCGGGAGGGCGUUUACCACUUUGUGAUUCAUGACUGGGGUGAAGUCGUAACAAGGUAGGCGUAGUGCU